rnacentral:misc_RNA from 1 species
GAAAUGCGAUAAGUAAUGUGAAUUGCAGAAUUCAGUGAAUCAUCGAAUCUUUGAACGCACAUUGCGCCCGCCAGUAUUCUGGCGGGCAUGCCUGUCCGAGCGUCAUUUCAACCAUCAAGCCCCCGGGCUUGUGUUGGGGACCUGCGGCUGCCCGCAGGCCCUGAAAACCAGUGGCGGGCUCGCUGUCACACCGAGCGUAGUAGCAAUCACCUCGCUCAGGGCGUGCUGCGGGUUCCGGCCGUUAAACAGCCUUACAAAACCCAAGGUUGACCUCGGAUCGGGUAGGAAGACCCGCUGAACUUAAGC